UGAGCAAUCUGCCCUUCUCAUCGGAAUAAGCGUUGGAAACGACGUCUAAUGCCGAAUACGACCUCCUUUCGCAUGAUCGGAGGUGGAAAGCUCCGGCGGAGAAGGAUGAGCUCGCGGCCUAUCAGCUAGUUGGUGUGGGUAAUGGCUCACCAAGGCGACGACGGGUAGCCGGCCUGAGAGGGUGACCGGCCACACUGGGACUGAGACACGGCCCAGACUCCUAGGAGG
rnacentral:rRNA from 1 species